GAUCCUGGCUCAGAUUGAACGCUGGCGGCAGGCUUAACACAUGCAAGUCGAACGGUAACAUAAAGAAGCUUGCUUCUUUGAUGACGAGUGGCGGACGGGUGAGUAAUGCUUGGGAAUCUAGCUUAUGGAGGGGGGAUAACUACGGGAAACUGUAGCUAAUACCGCGUAAUAUCGAAAGAUUAAAGUGUGGGACCUUCGGGCCACAUGCCAUAGGAUGAGCCCAAGUGGGAUUAGGUAGUUGGUGAAGG
rnacentral:rRNA from 1 species